UACGUAGGGGGCGAGCGUUGUCCGGAUUUAUUGGGCGUAAAGAGCGUGUAGGCGGCUUGGUAGGUCUGCUGUGAAAACUCGGGGCUUAACCCCGAGCCUGCAGUGGAUACGGGCAGACUAGAGGUAGGUAGGGGAGAAUGGAAUUCCCGGUGUAGCGGUGAAAUGCGCAGAUAUCGGGAGGAACACCGGUGGCGAAGGCGGUUCUCUGGGCCUUACCUGACGCUGAGGAGCGAAAGCGUGGGGAGCGAACAGG
rnacentral:rRNA from 1 species